rnacentral:rRNA from 1 species
AAACCAACCGGGAUUGCCUUAGUAACGGCGAGUGAAGCGGCAAAAGCUCAAAUUUGAAAUCUGGCGUCUUCGACGUCCGAGUUGUAAUUUGAAGAAGGUAACUUUGUAGCUGGUCCUUGUCUAUGUUCCUUGGAACAGGACGUCAUAGAGGGUGAGAAUCCCGUGUGGCGAGGAUCCCAGUUAUAUGUAAAGUGCUUUCGACGAGUCGAGUUGUUUGGGAAUGCAGCUCUAAGUGGGUGGUAAAUUCCAUCUAAAGCUAAAUAUUGGCGAGAGACCGAUAGCGAACAAGUACAGUGAUGGAAAGAUGAAAAGAACUUUGAAAAGAGAGUGAAAAAGUACGUGAAAUUGUUGAAAGGGAAGGGCAUUUGAUCAGACAUGGCGUUUGCUUCGGCGUUCGCUGGGCCAGCAUCAGUUUUAGCGGUUGGAUAAAUCCUCGGGAAUGUAGCUCUACCUCGGUAGAGUGUUAUAGCCCGUGGGAAUACAGCCAGCUGGGACUGAGGAUUGCGACUUUUGUCAAGGAUGCUGGCGUAAUGGUUAAAUGCCGC